rnacentral:rRNA from 1 species
UACGAAGGGUGCAAACGUUGCUCGGAAUCAUUGGGCGUAAAGCGCACGUAGGCGGCAUUCUAAGUCGGAUGUGAAAUCCCUCGGCUCAACCGAGGACGUGCAUCCGAAACUGGAACGCUCGAGUAUGGAAGAGGGUCGCGGAAUUCUCGGUGUAGAGGUGAAAUUCGUAGAUAUCGGGAGGAACACCAGUGGCGAAGGCGGCGACCUGGGCCAAUACUGACGCUGAGGUGCGAAAGCGUGGGGAGCAAACAGG